UGGAGAAAAGCAGGGGAUCGCAAGACCUUGCGCUAAAGGAGCGGCCGAUGUCUGAUUAGCUAGUUGGUGGGGUAAAGGCCUACCAAGGCAACGAUCAGUAGUUGGUCUGAGAGGACGACCAACCACACUGGGACUGAGACACGGCCCAGACUCCUACGGGAGGCAGCAGUGGGGAAUUUUGGACAAUGGGCGAAAGCCUGAUCCAGCCAUGCCGCGUGAGUGAAGAAGGCCUUCGGGUUGUAAAGCUCUUUUAGUCGGAAAGAAAGAGUUGCAAUGAAUAAUUGUGAUUUAUGACGGUACCGACAGAAAAAGCACCGGCUAACUACGUGCCAGCAGCCGCGGUAAUACGUAGGGUGCGAGCGUUAAUCGGAAUUACUGGGCGUAAAGGGUGCGCAGGCGGUCUUGCAAGUCAGAUGUGAAAGCCCCGGGCUUAACCUGGGAAUUGCGUUUGAAACUACAAGGCUAGA
rnacentral:rRNA from 1 species